AUCACUUCUCGGCCUUUUGGCUAAGGUCAAGUGUAGUAUAUGUUCUAAUCAGAUUGAUAUCUGCCACGUCCUCUAUCUGAACACAGUAUUAAAUGGAUUUCUGGAGCAGGGAGUUGGAAUAGGAGCUUGCUCUGUCCACUCCGUGCACUGACCUGGUACUGCAGUACCUCCAGGAGCAAUGCCCCAAAA
ensembl:snRNA U2 U2 spliceosomal RNA